UAUCAGCAGAUACAUGCUUGACUUUAUCUUAUAGUCUAUAGACAAUACAUUAGAAUAUGUAAUGAAUCCAUACAUCUUUUCCAAAGGAAUACCCAAGACAGAAGUAGCAAUACAUGUAGCAAAAAUGACAGUCAGCCAGAUGAAAUAAUUUAGAUGAAGCUUGAAGACAAGAUGAAGCUUGUCUCUCUCAAACAAACGGGGACUGGCAAGUGGUCAGGAAUGAAAUACAAUGUGCUUUUAACUUUGUAUGAAAAAUAACAUACAGUUCUAUGUUGGUGAACAUAGUUCUGGUUUUGUCACAUAAAUCCUCUACUUCAAGUAAUUUUAGAAUUUUUUAAACUUACAGAUACCUUAUUUGAAGUUAAUUAGAAUCACAUUUAGUUCAUAAAUUUGGGAAGGCUUAUUUUCUUUAUGAUAGUGAAUCUCCCUUCCUAUAAACAUGCUUCCUUUGUAUAAACUUUAAUUCCUUUAAUAAAGUUGUAUACUUUUCUCCAUAAAGGAUAUAUGUAUCUUUAGGUUUUAUUCCUAGGUAUCUUUUAUUUUGGUCAUUUUAAGUGGAAUAUUCUUUAGAAUAUUUUCUAUGACUGACAUAUGGGAUGCAAUUCAUUCCUAUAGUUAUGUAUUAUUUAUUCUAACAGUAUAUUUAGAGAUUAUUUCAGGAUUCCAUCCAGGAUUCCAUCAUGAAAAAUGAAAAUUUUUUCCCUUCUUUACAUUCCUAUUAUUAUUCUCUUUUGAAAAUUUCAUUUCAUCAUUUUCUUCUUUUAAAAACUUCCCUGAAGAGAACUUCUAAAUUCAGUGUUGAGUGGAAACAAUGAUAAUGGACAUCCUUGUCUCACUUCUUAUUUUAAAAGGAAUAUUUCUAAUGCUUCAUUAUAUUAAGUGUGAAAUUUGCUGUAGAUUUUUGGCAGAUAAGCACCUUUGAAAAAAAGAAUUUUCAUUUAAUUCCUGAAUUACCAUACAUUUUACCAUGAAUGAGUAUUGGAAAAAAAUGUGUUUUCUUUUGUAGGGCACAGAAAUCUGAGGUAUGUAUUAUAUAAAUUCAAUCAUAUCAAUUGUAUUAUUCAAACAGUUAUUUUCUUAGUUUUUUUCCUACUUAUACUGAAACAUUAAAAAAAAAACCACCCUCUCACUAUGACUGGAUUCCCCUCCCCUCCCCUCCCCUUCCCUUCUUCCUUCUUUUCUUUCUUUUUUAUCUUCCUCCUUCCUUCCCUCCCUUCCCAGAUUACCUGUGACUGUAGAAAAGUUAGUGGUACCUAACAGACACGCUUACAGAAGCAUAGAAAGGAAACAUCACACAAAUUAGAAAAAUAGCAGAGUAGCAAUUUUAUAAUCAGACAAAAUAAGAGGUCAAGAUAACAAUCAUUAAAUGAUACGUAAAACACCCUUUUCCAUUGAAAUAGGCGCAUCCUAUUACCAAGGGGUAACAGUCAUGAACGCUUAGAAAUUGAAUCAUAUAACAUCAAAGUAUAUAAGGCAAAAAAAUGUUAGAAAUGUAAAUUGCUUUCUAUCUGAAUCAACGCGCUCUCAUCCAUAAACCUCGGAUUAUAACAGGUUUGCCUAUCAGGACUUUUUGAUGGUUAAGCUAAGUGAUGUGUAUAGUGAGUGAGUACAGAUACCUCAGGCCACAACCUCUUAUUUUUAAGGUCAAAUCCAAUGUGAAAGAAAUUUAAUCUUAUUCUCGAUCAAUUCAGGACACUCAAUUCUGUUGCCUCUCUCUUGCUUUUAACCUGGGAUCUCAUCCAGCUUCUAGGGAUUUAUAGAGUUUUCAAGGCAUCAGCGGAAAGCAUCUGGUUCCUGCAUUAACGAGAAAGUCUUGGGUCUUGCCUGCUCUCCAGGGACCAUGCCCAUAGCUGCUGACAUGCCCUGUUGUUUUGACCACUCCAGGAAGGUGGCAUGGGGAUGGGUGAUCUGGAUAUGAUGAAAACUGCGGAGGUGAAGUCACGAGUAAAACUGAGAUGUUGCCUCUGAAACUGUCAGGUUCAAGAAAUUGCUUACAUUAUAAAACAAAGCCUCCUUGGAGUGUUUCCCAAAUUGUUUGUACAGAGUCUCUUGGAAAAUACCCAUCCUUGCGGACAUCAGAAGAGCGAAAGUCAG